rnacentral:rRNA from 1 species
ACGAACGCUGGCGGCGUGCUUAACACAUGCAAGUCGUACGGUAAGGCCCUUUCGGGGGUACACGAGUGGCGAACGGGUGAGUAACACGUGAGUAACCUGCCCACAACUUUGGGAUAACGCUAGGAAACUGGUGCUAAUACUGGAUAUGUGCUCCUGCUGCAUGGUGGGGGGUGGAAAGCUCCGGCGGUUGUGGAUGGACUCGCGGCCUAUCAGCUUGUUGGUGGGGUAGUGGCCUACCAAGGCGGCGACGGGUAGCCGGCCUGAGAGGGUGACCGGCCACAUUGGGACUGAGAUACGGCCCAGACUCCUACGGGAGGCAGCAGUGGGGAAUAUUGCACAAUGGGCGCAAGCCUGAUGCAGCAACGCCGCGUGCGGGAUGACGGCCUUCGGGUUGUAAACCGCUUUCAGCAGGGACGAAGCUUUUUGUGACGGUACCUGCAGAAGAAGCACCGGCUAACUACGUG